UACGGGGGGUGCAAGCGUUGUUCGGAAUUAUUGGGCGUAAAGAGCGUGUAGGCGGUUAGGCAAGUCAGAUGUGAAAGCCCUGGGCUCAACUCAGGAAGUGCAUUUGAAACUGCUUAACUAGAGUAAGAGAGGGGAAAGUGGAAUUCCUGGUGUAGAGGUGAAAUUCGUAGAUAUCAGGAGGAACACCGGUGGCGAAGGCGGCUUUCUGGCUCUAUACUGACGCUGAGACGCGAAAGCGUGGGGAGCAAACAGGAUUAGAUACCCCCGUA
rnacentral:rRNA from 1 species